ensembl:lncRNA
CUGUGACUAACAGACAUAGUCCUUUAGCCAACCUGGCUCACGUCUUUGACGUUUCUCCCGUGGACAAGCAUCAGAAGACACUGAAUUUCCAGACAAUGGAACAUGAGAGGGAAUCAAGUUUUCAGCAUUGGUGGUCAGUCCAUUAUCCAGCGCAUUAGUCGGCACGGGUGCGAGACACGAUGCAUGCCACUUCCUUCCAUCAUCCAAGAGAUGGAGCAGAUGCCAAGCCAUAAGGUACCUUGCAAAACCUGAAGAGGCCUUCGUGUGUAAUGAAUGCAGUGAGGUCCCGGCUGUCUUCAUGAAGAGAUCCACACACAUGCGGAUCCCCCCUGUUUUCUUUUGGACCACAACAAUUGGAGAAACCCAUGGAGAGGAGUCAAUCCUUUCAAUUACACCUGCAUGCAAGAGUCGUUGCAGUUCUGCAGAAACAGCAUCUCUCACAGAGAAAGCCCAAUGUAGCACGCUGUGAUGGAGGAGUGGAGAGUUCACAGACUGAAGCAGAUUGUGGCGGCGGCAGCACAGUGUUUCCAUCAAAUCGAAGCUGGAGUCCCUUAAUCAGGUCCCUGCCUAGCAAAGCUGUGCCAUUGUCAACGAUGAAGAAGUGUGCAGGACAGGUAAGGCCAUAUUUAGAUACCGUUGCAGGUAAACAUCCUAGUACUGAAAUUGGCUCUUGUAAGUAAGUAACUAAACGAGCAGUAGGAGCAUGUAACGGCACAGUGUGAAAAUGCUGCUCAUAUAAUUGUUUUGGCAGGAUGGACACUGAUGAACCAGAGUCCACUGUGAGUUGAAGAGAGACAGGGAUGGCAGCAGGUGUGGCAUUUAUAAUCACACAUCAAACGGUCAGUUGCUCCAGCAGAUGCUGCGGGGCAGUUCUGUGCGUUUGCAAGAUGUCCAGCAGAGCCACAGUGAAAGCAUGUCCGAGCUGACAGAGCAGAAGCAGAG